rnacentral:rRNA from 1 species
GACGAACGCUGGCGGCGUGCUUAACACAUGCAAGUCGAGCGGAGCGGCGAACGGGUGAGUAACGCGUGAGUAACUGCCCCCCUCCCUGGGAUAACAGUUGGAAACGGCUGCUAAUACCGGAUAGUGGGGGAUGAGUCGGGUCAUAUCAGCUUGUGGGUGGGGUAGUGGCCUACCAAGGCGACGACGGGUAGCCGGCCUGAGAGGGCGACCGGCCACAUUGGGCUGGGAUACGGCCCAAGCUCCGACGGGAGGCAGCAGUGGGUAAUAUAGCACAAUGGGGGAAGCCCUGAUGCAGCAACGCCGCGUGGGGGAUGACGGUCUUCGGGUUGUAAACCGCUUUCAGCCAUGACGCGGUAGUGGCAGAAGAAGCACCGGCUAACUACGUGCCAGCAGCCGCGGUAAUAC